CUCUAAUAGUUUACAACAAAACAUUGGUCUUGUAAGCCAAAGCCGGAGAACGCCCCCCCUCCUUAGAGUA
rnacentral:tRNA from 1 species